rnacentral:lncRNA from 1 species
GAACAUAGGCAUUUCUAUUAAUGAAUAUAAGAGUUUUACUUGAUGAGCUACAGGGGUGAUUGGAGCGAAAAAGCUCUAUCUAAGGCAACAUGGUCUUGAUGCAGCUUCGAUCGACAGGGAUCUGACUCGGUUACGCUCCUAGCUUGCGAACGCUCUGUCUCCUUGGCGACGAACGACGGAUCCUUAUGUGAACCUGGCCACGUUAAAAGCCGCUGAGUACUUUUGAAUGUACUCGCAAGCAAACCAAACUAACAUAUACACUAAGCAAAGCAAUCCAUGGUAUUCAAGCAUGUAUUUGUUAUUAGAACAAUAUUAGUCAUCAUGACACAUCAUACCUAUCUAGCAAUGUUAAUUAUCAAGGUAUAACAAGGUUAUCUAGCAAGAUAACUUCUGAAGUGAAUAUGAUAAGGUAAAGCAUAUUAGAUAAAUGAUUUAUACUCCGAAUAUUCUCAUGGCCCAGUCUGAAUCUGAUCCAAAUCCAAUCCAACUCAUGUGGUCAUCGACCACUCAUCUCAUAGCCAUCCCAUGGCUAAAAUGUCAUAUACCGGACAUCUUCCGAUGUCUACACCAGACGAGUUCUUCCAUCAUUAUCAUCACUCUUACGGUUGAUCACUUACUAAGGUCUGGUCGGGCUGUCCAAUAUCGUGGACUCGGCUAUUCGAAUAGAUUUGACACUCUGCAGAUGUUGCACACUUUACCCACACUAUGGAGUACUGACCUUGUGAUUCCAUUCGGGUGGACCAGUAUUACUCCAAUGAAACUUGCCUGAACCGUGAUCCUCUCAUUGUACCACCGACAACCACUCUCCUCUGGAGCCUUGCCCUCGGUGGCCCUGUGUACUCAUGACACCUGCCACCAUCAUGGCCAAACAAAACCGACCCAACCGGGGACGGGCCCAACUCAACUUAACUGGGCUCACAGGGUUAGCACCGCCUACCUUAUCAGGGUAGCACGCGUGCAUAACCCUCCCUCUUUGGAGGUACCGGUGAGAGCGAUCACACAAACAGCUCAAGUCACGACCGUCCCAUAUCGGCAAAUGUGGUUGCACUGAUGAGCCCAGACAUGUCACUCUGAUCAACCAAUUAGGUUUGGUUUUAACAACAUAUUUAUCAAGCAUGGUUGUUGUCAACAAGGACUUAACAUGAUGAUGAUUAUGCAUGAAAUAACAACGGUAGAAACAGCACAACCUAUCUCUUUGUUGUGAGUCAUUACUAAGACAGUAUGUAUAUGAUAGGUUAUUACUUUACAAGCUCUAACUGUAAAGUAGACCCUCGGAACCCUCGCAUAAAACCGAAAAAUAAAUCGGUAGCCACCAGAACGGUUGUUACACACAUAUCUGGGACAUUACCGGAAUAUCUCAACCUCGGCUCAAGACGGCUGGAAAGCAGCACAGAGCAUGAGGCGGUGUUGAUAAGAAGAAUGUAGCAGUUCCCUAAGACGACCGAAGCACAGCUUAGAGCAUAGGGUCACCGCCACGGAGAGAAAUGCAACAGUUGCCCGCGACGGCCGAAUAGCAGCGCAUAAUAUGGGACAACUGCUGACAAAAGAAAUAUAAAAUUGGCAUCCACCCCGAACGGCCAAAAGAAGUUCAGACUCAUGCGUGGUGCCAUCAUCGAAGAAAAUGCGAGUAAGGGUUCAUCAGCAUAUCAUACAACACAUUACUAAACACUCGGACAUAAGCAUAUUGAAUUAAAUAUGCAAGAACAUCACAGAGCAAAGCUUGAGGGCAUAUAUUAGAUGGUCGACUUGCCUGGGGUCGAAGGAUACUCCCGGAAGAGGUGCGGAAAGUCCGCAGAAAGGAUCGCCGGAUACUGCUCUCUCUCAAAGGGGCUGAUUGGAAACAGGGCAAAAGGGUCAUUUUCACUAUGUGACCACCUUGUGAAAAUGUAACCAACAUGACGGGCUCGACGAGACGAAGACGAAGGCUUUGGAAUCACCCCAAUCGGAGUCUCGAACAAGAAGAUACAAGCAUUUGAAGGAAAAGGACCAAUCCGCAAUAAGAAUAUUUCCAGAAUGGUCCCUGGCAGCUCAGCGAGCCGCGCCCUUUGGAAGAGUACGCUUUCCCUUAGGGAAAGCGUAAUCCUUGCCGGGCCUUUUCCACUUAAUCCAACUGGCGGGCCACCAGCCGCCGACAGGUGGGUCCCGACCCCACCUGUCGGGUCCUCUCUCUCUCCUCCUCACCCCUUUCUUCCUCGUCCCGACGAACAAAGGCACCGAUGAGACUGCGCGGCACCGGCGCACGACCGGCCGACUCCAGCCUCCUCGGGCUGAGGCGAGGGCACCGGAGGCCCUGGGGUGAACCGCCACAUCCGUCCCGAUACCACACGAGCGCUGGAGAGCUCAGAGUCAAGCGGGGCAUUGGCCACGGCGGAAGGCGGCUUCGGCGAGGUUGGGCACGUCGCCACAGUGCACCAGAGGCAGGGUAGACAGUCGGGGAAGGGUUACCGAACCUUGGGGGUUCCUCUGGUCACAAAAGAUGGAGAUGAGAGGCUCGGGGCAGCUCCAAUUUAGGAGAAGUGAGGCGGCGACCAUGGCGGCGAUUGGAUGGAACUAGAGCUCCUCGAGCUCGAUUAAGGGGCCAGGGAGGAGGCUAGGAGGGAUAGGGAGGGUGUUGGAGAG